GCUAACCACUGCGCCACCAUGCUGCUAAGCUACGCAGGGUCGGGCCUGGUUAGUACUUGUAUGGGAGACCACCUGGGAAUACMAGGUGCUGUAAGCU
rnacentral:rRNA from 1 species